UACGUAGGGGGCAAGCGUUGUCCGGAUUUAUUGGGCGUAAAGAGCGUGUAGGCGGCCAGACAGGUCCGUUGUGAAAACUCGAGGCUCAACCUCGAGAUGUCGAUGGAAACCGUCUGGCUAGAGUCCGGAAGAGGAGUGUGGAAUUCCUGGUGUAGCGGUGAAAUGCGCAGAUAUCAGGAAGAACACCGAUGGCGAAGGCAGGUCUCUGGGCCAUAACUGACGCUGAGAAGCGAAAGCAUGGGGAGCGAACAGG
rnacentral:rRNA from 1 species